AGUUUUUUGGGUUCAUUGAGAACAUGGUUGUUGUUCAAUAAUAAAAUUAUUCCUCAAAAAUACAACUUGCCUAAUAAUUCUGCACUCCCUGUAGAUUCCGCCUGAGUUGUGUUGUUAUGACUGUAUAAAUUACAGACUAUAAAGAAGGCGUUGUCCAAUUUGAAAACCAGAAUAAUCCAUCUGCCUUCAUCUGAAGACAAUGAUACAAUAAUAUUACCUUUAAAGUUGUUAAGGAGAAUGGCUACGCCUGCCGAAUGUUGAGAGGCGUGGCAAAAAUAACACUGAUCACCCCACUGUGCUUUCCAGAAUUUUACAUCAUUAUCACUCGAAUGAGUUUCUUGUAGAAAAAUCAAAUCAGCAUUUUUCCGUCUACAGAAAAUGAAAAUUGACUUUCUUUUGGUACUGUCACGAAUACCUCGAACAUUAAGGGAUAGUAUUUUUAAGGAACUGAAAUGUAAGUCUGUCAUAAGAAAAGAAGGGAAUGAAUAAAGUGAACUGGAUGUCUGUUAAACUAACUAGAAACUUAUAAGGUGCUAAGGUAUAAACACCUAAAGAAGAUACUCUCAAAAGGGAACACUAAGUGUUGAGUACCUAAGUAAAAUUCUUCAGACUCUUUGGUUUUUCCCCCCCCGAUGCAGUGACCCAAAUGCUUAAGCAAAUUAACAUUUAUACACCAAUAAAAGUAGGAUAUUUAACUACUCACACUGUAAAACAUAAGCAAGUUCAAACAUAACCAUAAUAAUGUUUGCCAGAUAUUGGUACAACUAACUUGGAGGUAUAAAAGUUUUAUAGAAAAUUUAAAGAGGAUAUUAUUGGUUGUAAACAUAUUACCUAAUGAACCUGAGGUAUUUCAAGCAAAAACACAAAACAAAAACAAUAUACAAGUGCCUCAAAAUGAUUAAAUAUUGAACAGUAACAUUGGGAGCCUGAGGUAGUUGAAAUACCUGUUGUUAAUGUUAGGUAACGUACAGAGUGAACUUAAAGUAUUUCAGUCAUCUUGCUGAUCUUUUAAUAACCUCUUAUUUAUGCAGUGUGUCUUACACCAUCAAUGAUGGCCACAGGACCAAUCCAUUUGGUCUUCUUUCCCUCGUCACGGGCUUGUUUGACAGUUGGCCACAGUUUAUUUCUGCACUGUCUCUCCAUGUAGGUGAGAUCUUCAGCCAACCUGAGAUUCUUCUUCUUCAUCACAUCAGAGUUGAGGGAAGCUCUCCACACUUUGUGUCGGAAGGUGAUGUUUCCAGCUCCUUUAUCUCACCUGACGCCUGGAAUGCCGUCUGUGGUCUUCAGCAUGAUCACAAUGUGUUAUUUGUGUAUUUUGACUGGUUUACAAUGACAGGACAGUAAGCAUUAUCAGUGUAUAUUCCAAUAAAAGCAUCGAGUUUUUACUCCAACAUCGAUGAGGAUUUUCUUUUGGCUCUUUUGAACCAACAGGUUGGAAAGUCUCCUGAAACUAAGCGCAAUUGAAAAUCAAUUCCUUUCUUUUCUUCUGUGAUUAUUAUGUGCAAAGACUAGCCAUAAGAGGAGUCUUUUAGGUUCUCCUGAUGAGACAAUGUAAUUGUUUUACUUUUCUACUGGUAAAAUCUGAAGGAUUAUUCAUGCCAUGACACUGUCAUUUACAGACAGGCAAGAAAUUAAAGGCAUGCCCUGAACUCUUGACCCCUACACAGAGAGACAUUGUUGCACUUUGCUGCCAUGUUAGGGUUCACUUGUCAAAGGUAAAAGAGUUGUAAAAUCAUUACAAACUUGCUAUGACAGAUUAUGUUUGUCCCGUGACAAAUAGACUGAGUAGUUGAUUAUGAAAAAGGCGUGAUCAUACACCAUGGCUUUCACAGUCACCUGACGUCAACCAAGACUAUUCUGGGGAAAUGUGUUUACUAAACAAUUCCAGGAUACACUGAAGUUGUUGUGGAGGCAUGUUGUGGAGAAAAGAGAUGUUAUUUUUCCUGCCAUUUUUUAUCAGUUCAUUUUACUAUUUUCAGUUUUAUUAUUUGGAUAUUGUUAUCGCAUCAUAAUCAUAUAACAAGCAUUUGCAUUGAUGCAUUUAUUGAUAUUACCUUAAAGUUUGCAUUCAUUUUAAGUUCACUUUUAUUUACUUUAUUUACUUUAUGUACAGGUGCCAGUAUAAUCAUAUGAUAAUUUGUCAUUGCAGGAGCACCUAUGAUUAUUUUACACAUUGCAUUUGUGCCUUAAAGGAGUUGUGACUCAAGAAGUCGUCUCUUGAGGGUUAUAAACUUUUGGUUAGGAUUAGCCAAUCUACUGUGAGGAUGACCUGAGUUAUUGAAGGAUUGCACAUGCUUACAAUACAUUUGUAUUCUGUUCUUUUAUUAUUUUUAUUCAUGUAUACCUUUUUAUUAAGUUUUAAGUAGUGGUAUCAGAUUGAGACAUUUGUUUAAUACCUUUUUUAUAUAUUUUACAUAUAAGCCAAGAUCAUCACACAUAGGAUGGCUUCAGCCUGGUUGCAUAAGCAGAGAGGUCACAUAGGGUGCAAGGCAAGGGUAACAUAUGCACAGACAUACACACACACCCACACGUACACAGACAUACAAGUGAGUUUAUUUAGGUGAAAGGUAAGCAUGCUUGCUAAGGUUGCAGUUUUUGUGGGUGUAGGUGAUGGUUUGAUAAGAGUACAGGAUGUCUAACUGUCUUGUGGGGACUGUGGGUGCGGGGACUGCACCGAGAGAAGGAUGGAAGCCAAUGUUCUUUUAAAAAGGGGUCAAAAGUUAACUGGGGUUUUGUGGGUUUGAUUUGACGUAUGCAAAUAUUGUAUCUGUUUAAGACAUGAAGGGGCGUUGUAUUAAUCUGCCCAUAUAAAACCUUUAUGUUGUUUAUUGUUUGAGAGAUCCACCUUUGAUGUUCUGCAGGGUGUGUCUCCCACACGUGUGAUUUUCAUUAAAGUCAUCGCUUGAAUUCA